UUACUCUGUAUGCUCAAAUGUGACCCGUUAUAGCCAACAGAAAAAAAGCGGAGGCCCGAAAAACAGGUGGGGGUCCUCCACCACCACCACUCACAGAGGCUGAGCAGUUGGCCCUCAGCCAAAACAGUGGGCGCCCUGUGGCCGAAGGCAUCUCUGCGGGGACAUCCUCUGAGUCAAUAACCCUGCAAGACACAAGUGCCUACAUAGGGGGAAAAUAAUGAAGAAACAUUGACAGCUGUUACAGAGGAGGAAGCAACAGAGACACUUUAUGAGGUUUACAUCUUUUAAUACUUUGUGUACAGGAAACACAGGCGACCAAUAAAGCCAGUUGAACA